rnacentral:rRNA from 1 species
AUUGAACGCUGGCGGCAGGCCUAACACAUGCAAGUCGAGCGGAGCGGCGGACGGUUGAGUAAUGCCUAGGAAUCUGCCUGGUCGUGGGGGAUCACGUACGGAAACGGGCCCUAAUACCGCAUCCUAUCAGAUGGUCCUAGUGCGGAUUAGCUAGUGGGUGGGGUAAAGGCCUACCAAGGCGACGAUCCGUAACUGGUCUGAGAGGAUGAUCAGUCACACUGGAACUGAGACACGGUCCAGAUGACUACGGGAGGCAGCAUUGGGGAAUAUUUGACAAUGGGCGAAAGCCUGAUCCAGCCAUGCCGCGUGUGUGAAGAAGGUCUUCGGAUUGUAAAGCACUUUAAGUUGGGAGGCGUUACCAACAGAAUAAGCACCGGCUAACUUCGUGCCAGCAGCCGCGGUAAUUC